UCUUUAAGCUUUCUCUCUUCUUUUUUCUUCUUUUUUUAUGAUGGAUUUUACUACUGUGAUUUCAAAAUUUGAUUAUGAUGCCUUGCUUCUUAGAUUCUUUAGGGAUUUAUGUUGGAGAAUUUAAUUUCUUGAUGUUUCUUGAUUGGAAUUUAACAGUGUUAUUGAUAUUGUUCUACAAUGUCUGUAUGAUUUUUUCACCAACAUUCUACAAUGUCUUUUCUGUAGUGAAGAAUGUAUGGUACCUAUAGUUGUCUGAGGGAUGUUUUGGUAACUACUUUUAGGGUUUUCUCUAGGGUUGUAAUUGUUUGGGAAAUCUGUAAUGGUGAAGUACUUGAUUAAGAUCAAAUAUGUUUCUGGGUUCUUCAAGCAACCUUUCUCUUCUUCUUUUUUCGAUGGAUUUUCGUACUGCUAUUUCAAGAAUUUGACUUGUUGAUAUUUCUUGAUUGGGAUCCAACCGUGCAAUUGCUAUUGUUUUGCUUUAGUGGUUGAUUAUUGUCAGAAUUUACAAUGUCUGUGUGAAUUUUUAUCAAGAUUCUACAAAGUCUCUUUAGUGAAGAAUGUACGGUACCUAUAGUUGUCUGAUGGAUGUUUUGAUUACUACUUUUAGACUUUUCUCUAGGGUUGUAAUUGUUUGUAAAACCUGUAAUGGUGAAGUACUCGGAUCAAAUAGAUUUCUGGUUCUACCAACAGUUGAAUGCCUGCUAUAAGAUUGGAUGAUACUAUUUGGUUUUAAUAAUCAGUGUGCGUGUUGCCGUCGUCACAGUUCUUUAGGGCUUUAUGUUAAAGAAGAAUCUGACUUCUUGAUGUUUCUUGAUUGGCAUUCAACAAUUGCCUAUGCCUAAUUCUAGUGCUAAUAUGCAAGAGGAGUUUCAGUGGUACUAUUUCCAGUGCUUUUACAACCAACCAGUUUGAAGAAAGCAAAUGUGUUCCUGCCCAAAGGGGGUCUUGCAUUCUGUGAAAGAAUCUGCUGAGGAUCACCCUUGUGCAUCCCACAGUGUCUCCUUCAAGAUUGUUGUUAUUGAAAGUGAGGAUGACCUGCUUUGCACACGUGAUUCUCCUUCUCUGUUGCCACUAUUGUUAAGUGGGUUAGGGAUUCAUCUGGGUUUCCUUAACAAAUUGAAUGCAAGUGAUGGUUCAUUCAAUCUCUUUGGAUACAUCUCAGGUCCUGACAGUGAAGGUAUGCAGGUCCAUAUUGAGGGAUAAGAGAUGUGAAGAGAGUCUCAAGAAUUAUUUGAUACCGUGAGCUAUGCUCUCCUCUAGGGUAGAUAGGGACUCACAUAAAUUUAUUGAUGCUGGAAAUCGAGGUAAAACGGAUGAGCUUAUAAGGAAGAAGAAGAGUAGAAGAAAUCAUUCAGCUCCUCCAUGUUACCAAGGCAAGAAUAAGUUCUUUGCCAUGAGUGAGUCUACAAGAACGGCAGCAGGAAAUCACAGUAUUAAGACUAUUCAUGAUGUGCCCAUUCAUGCCCUCAAACUAGAGAAACUAGAGCAGUAAGUAGACUGCAUCAUUCUGCUGGGAGCUUCCACAGCAGUCAUCCCAUUAAUGAAAGGCCAAGUGUGAAAGGGAACUUGUUAACAUUUGGAAUAGCAAUUUGCAAGCUCAAGGGGAGUGUACAUGUACACACGAUGGGGAGUUAAAAGAAGAAUUUGUACCAACAAGAAGUUUUUAGAUUCUGGGAUGAAAUGGAGGGACUUCCAGGGAUUACAAACAGUGCUGGAACAGAGAAUCUUAAUAAUCAGUAUACUGUACUCAGUGUCACUUUUGGCGUCUUGCAUUUUGUUAGCGAUUCAUUGAUUCCUGAUACCAUUGAUAAAAACUGCCUGGCAGGUGCCAAAGUUCUCAAACAGGUUGAUAAGAAGUUUAUUCCGAUUGUGGGAGCAUAACACCUGAUAUAACUGAUCAGGUAUCUGUUGCUAUGGCAUUGUUACCUGCUAUGUUAAGGUGGAUGACAAUGGAUCUGGUGUUUCACGAGAUGGAUUGGUGCUGAUGGGAUAAAGAUAUGGUAAUCUUUCUGCAAAAUGUUGGACCACCAUCAUCUGUUCUAUUGUAUUGAUGUUGCUCAACAUCAAAAUACAGCCAUUCAGAUGAUAUUCAAGCUUUGGUUUUAAAAGAGAGGCUUUGAGCUCCAUUCUCUUCAUCAAAAUCCUUGUCUCUUCAUCUUCUAUGAGUCUGCGAGUCACAACUUUGAGAAUUCUUUCCCAUGGUUGAGAUUCCAUUCAGCACAACAAUUUCUCCAUGAAACGCUAAAUCAAGCAAUGACCAAACUUAGCCGAAUUUCAGAACCAUUGAACUGGUGCAUACCCCUUGUUGGAUUCUCGAGUUUAUAGUGUUUCAGUGGACGAGUCCACUUGAGCUUUGUAUUGCUUCUCGGCGGUGGAGACUCCUUAGCAAGGAAGCUGGAGCUGCUUAUUCUUUUUUGAUCUCUUCCAUUGUUAAAGGUGAAGGGUGACUGUCUUUUGCAACGUAAAGGCGCGGACAUGAUUUUCUUGUAAAAUCGUUUUAAUAUCAACGUUGUAAGUGGGCUAAUAUCUCCUGACAUGCAUUCGUAUGUGAAAUACUUGUGCAAUCUACAGCUAUGAAAGGGCUGAGAUCCAAACUUUGUAAUGUUGACACCGACCAAGGAGCACUUGGCAGAAGGAAUAAACUGGAGAGUUGGGAAGAGACCACCGACUUGUCACUUCCAAUCAUGGUAAUACCGUUAUGAGGGAAUAACUAAAGAAUGUAAAUCGCAUUACACCUCUUCAUGAUUUUGCAGCCAUGCUGAGAAGUAGCUAGUUUAAUACUUUGUUCAUUUCGAAUUAGGUACCACUUUAAACUAAUAACCUUAUGAGUCUAGAUUCAGUAAGUUUCACUGUCCUUUGUUUUAUGGUGGUUUCAUGUACAAUCUGCUAACAUCCUUUGAAUCUAAUGUUAUCAUCAUCUGCAGGUACAAAAAUUAUAUUUACUAUGUGUGCGGAGAUCACAUAGAGUUGAACAUUCUCAUCUAUAACUAAUAUUGGAGCAUCCUCCUUAUUGUUUGACAAUAGCAUCUUUGUGUAUGACAUCACUGCUUGAUUAUAAGAUGUUCUGCCAACUUCCGUUGCAAGCCAUCAACACUUAUCUCAAAUCUACAUUUUGCUUCCUCACAAUACUUGCAAGUACAUACUAGAUCCACCCAAUCUGUUGGUAUUCUGUCAUGGCCUCACCAAUUUUAUUGUGCUAGACAGUUUAACAGAUCAUUAUUGUAAUAGUACAAGUGAUGGUUUGUUCUGUCUGGAUAAUUACAAGUCAGACCUGUAGCACAUGGCUUAUGAUAUCACCGCCUGCUUAUGGGAAGUUCUGUCUCUUCAAUUAACACCUAUGCUAUCGAGUUCUGCAAAAUUUGUUUUCAAGAUAGGUGCUCCAAGGAUGAAAACUUUUGCUGAAAGUUAUGAACAAGUUAUUGGCAUAACAAUGAAGAUACCCCUUUCAAAUAUUUGCUUCGUGACGAAAAGUUAUGCUAGCCCUUUCCUUAGCAUUCCCUUCUUAAUUUAUUUACUUUAAUUCUCUUUCCAUGUUUGAUUAAGCUUUUUCACUCACUUUUAAAAUUGUAUUGGUAUGUGUUGUUUUCUUAGGAAUAAUGGUGCCAGAAUUCAGCAAAAAAUUGCUGUCAAGGAAAGAAAAGAAAAGAAAACUUCAGCGUACAAACUGCAAUUUUAAGAACAGAUCGCUGCAAGUAGUACAAUCAUGGCGAAGUUAGAUAGAUUGCCGUUUCAGGUGUUGACUUUCCCGGAGAAAGUUACCUAUCCUUCUCCCUUCAAUUUCCGUGCUUUUAUUUACCUUUUGUCUCAUUGUUUCCUUUUUGUCUUUCCGUGGUCAAUUAAGCUUCACUAACAGGCGAUUUUACUGGUGUCUGUUAUUCCCCUGGAAUUCCUGUGCUAGUUUGUAUGUUCUAGUAGUAGUACGGACAUUGAGAAAAGCUUAAGAAAGGCAUUUGAUGGGCUUUGGCCGAGCAGAUGGUGUUUGGAGGAAGCUCUUCAAACUGUGAAGAGCGAGGAGGCUGGCGACAAGCCCAUGGAUGUGGCUUGAACCCGAUGUGAAAUGUGAAAACAUGUACAAUAAAGUAGGUUUUCCAUGUCAGUCAGGCAUGUCAUAUUACAGUUUUUCAGGUGGAGUUCAAUUUCUUUCUAUCUUUUGUCACAUUUCCUCUUCAGCUGGAUUCAGUUGCAGCAUAAAUUUUCCAGAUUUGUAAAUCAUUCCUUGCCUUAGACAAGAAGCUGAAUUUCCUUGGUAGUCAGGUGUGUCCUACUGUCCUAUCAUGCUUUUUCUGGUGGAAUUCAAUAUCUUUCUUUUUUUCUUAUUUCCUCUUCUGCUGGAUGAUUGUUACUCGUUGUAUUACAAUGUUAGUUUAAGAGCGACUUUUGUUUUGAUUUUCACUUAAAUUUUUAUUUUAUCAUAAUCUUUAAAAUUUCCUACCAUUUAAAGAAAAAUAAAAAAUCUCCUUCAGAAUCACUUAUGCCUGAGGUAUAAGCAAGUCAGUGAUCUAUUUGGAUUUCCUAUUCCCUCUAUGAUAUAUCUCUCCCCUCUCGGAUACAUCUUUUGCCCGUGUAUCCGGAAGUCUAGUGAUACAUCCGAAAUCCAUAGGAAAUAAUGUAAUUAGCUCUUAACACUAUGAGAUUUAUGUAAAUCAUACUAAAUUUUAUUGUAUCGUUUAAA